rnacentral:snRNA from 1 species
CAGCUGUGCAGUAAACACAUAGCGAACUAUUCUUUCGCCUUUUACUAAAGAAUACCGUGUGUUUGCUGCAAUUUAAGCAGCAUACGCCUCUUUUUGGAGGGUUAAUUUUCCAUUAGGAAAUU